GGGGCUGACCGGUUUUGACAGCGUGUAGAAGUGGUCGGUAAGCAUGCAGAGCAACGAUGCCUACGCUCUUUAAUCUGGGACAUCAAAAAUUCAAAUGGCGAAAACAACUACGCUCUCGCUGCUUAAUCGAAGAACAGUAGAUUAGCUUUAUUUCCGCAACAGUUGCGGAAACGAGACAUCACCCGAAAGUCGUUUUUCCGAGACUAAUCGAUAUGGUGGUGCAGUAAAAUCGGGAAUAUAGCGCCGAAAGCCUCGCGAAGCGCCGAAUUCUUAGAGGAUAAGGACACGAUUGGUUGUUUCCUGCCUGUCGCGCCACGAAAACCAACUGGAAACUAAGCAUGUAGAAAGCUCAUCAAUUCCACGUUUGGACGAGGGUUCAAAUCCCUCCAGCUCCACU
rnacentral:tmRNA from 1 species